rnacentral:rRNA from 1 species
AUUGAACGCUGGCGGCAGGCCUAACACAUGCAAGUCGAACGAGUGGCGGACGGGUGAGUAAUGUCUGGGAAACUGCCCGAUGGAGGGGGAUAACUACUGGAAACGGUAGCUAAAACCGCAUACCAUCGGAUUUGCCCAGAUGGGAUUGGCUGGUAGGUGGGGUAAUGGCUCACCUGGGCGACGAUCCCUAGCUGGUCUGAGAGGCUGACGAGCCACACUGGAACUGGGCAACGGUCCAGACUCCUACGGGAGGAAGCAGUGGGGAAUAUUGGACAAUGGGCGAAAGCCUGAUGCAGCCAUGCCGCGUGUAUGAAAAAGGCCUUCGGUUUGUAAAGUCCUUUCAGCGGGGAGGCGUUACCCGAAGAAGAAGCCCCGGCUAACUCCGUGCCAGCAGCCGCGGUAAUAC